CUCAGGUGAAAGAGAGAUCGAUCUGAAGAGAUCAGCUUAUCGCCUUCUUCAUUUCGUAUUUCGCAUUUGUGUUUCAGAAUGAGAUUGACGCGAAGACACAGACAAACGCGACGAUUUCAUCUCCCAAUCCCGACCCGACACGUAGCCUCACGGGACGAGCCCAUCAUCCCUUAUUUUAGGCCCGUUCCACUCAUUUUCUUUUCUUUUUGAUUUAUUUUCGACCCAAAUUUUUUAAGGGCCCUGCCUUAAGGGACCCCGAUGCUGAUGCUCU
rnacentral:lncRNA from 1 species